rnacentral:rRNA from 1 species
UGGGGAAUAUUGGACAAUGGGCGAAAGCUGAUCCAGCAACGCCGCGUGAGGRAUGACGGCCUUCGGGUUGUAAACCUCUUUCACCCACGACGAAGCGAAAGUDACGGUAGUGGGAGAAGAAGCACCGGCCAACUACGUG